CAACUUUCAACAACGGAUCUCUUGGUUCUG
rnacentral:rRNA from 2 species